rnacentral:rRNA from 1 species
AUUGAACGCUGGCGGCAGGCCUAAUACAUGCAAGUCGAGCGGAUGAAUGGAGCUUGCUCCUGGAUUCCGCGGCGGACGGGCGAGUAAUUCCUAGGAAUCUGCCCUAUCGUUGGGGCUAACGUCCCUUCACGGGCGCUAAUACCGCAUCCGUCCUGAUGUCGAACGUGGGGGUUCUUCGGACACACCGCUUUCUGCUAUCCCUAGGUCGUAUUAGCUAGUUGGUUGGGCAAGGGCCUACCAAGGCGACGAUCCGUAACUGCUCUGAGAGGAUGAUCAGUCACACUGGAACUGAGACACGGUCCAGACUCCUACGGGAGGCAGCAGUGGGGAAUAUUGGACAAUGGGCGAAAGCCUGAUCCAGCCAUGCCGCGUGUGUGAAGAAGGUCUUCGGAUUGUAAAGCACUUUAAGUUGGGAGGAACGGAAGUAAGUUAAUACCUUCCUGUUUUGACGUUACCAACAGAAUAAGCAACGGCUAACUUCGUG